rnacentral:rRNA from 1 species
GAUACCCUGGUAGUCCACGCYGUAAACGAUGAGUGCUAWGUGUUAGGGGGUUUCCGCCCYUUAGUGCUGCAGCUAACGCAUUAAGCACUCCGCCUGGGGAGUACGGUYGCAAGACUGAAACUCAAAGGAAUUGACGGGGGCCCGCACAAGCGGUGGAGCAUGUGGUUUAAUUCGAAGCAACGCGAAGAACCUUACCAGGUCUUGACAUCCUCUGACAAUCCUAGAGAUAGGACGUCCCCUUCGGGGGCAGAGUGACAGGUGGUGCAUGGUUGUCGUCAGCUCGUGUCGUGAGAUGUUGGGUUAAGUCCCGCAACGAGCGCAACCCUUGAUCUUAGUUGCCAGCAUUCAGUUGGGCACUCUAAGGUGACUGCCGGUGACAAACCGGAGGAAGGUGGGGAUGACGUCAAAUCAUCAUGCCCCUUAUGACCUGGGCUACACACGUGCUACAAUGGACAGAACAAAGGGCAGCGAAACCGCGAGGUUAAGCCAAUCCCACAAAUCUGUUCUCAGUUCGGAUCGCAGUCUGCAACUCGACUGCGUGAAGCUGGAAUCGCUAGUAAUCGCG